rnacentral:rRNA from 1 species
AUGGUUGUCGUCAGCUCGUGUCGUGAGAUGUUGGGUUAAGUCCCGCAACGAGCGCAACCCCUAUUGUUAGUUGCCAUCAUUCAGUUGGGCACUCUAGCGAGACUGCCGGUAAUAAACCGGAGGAAGUGGGAUGACGUCAAAUCAUCAUGCCCCUUAUGACCUGGGCUACACACGUGCUACAAUGGUUGGUACAACGAGUUGCGAGUCGGUGACGGCGAGCUAAUCUCUUAAAGCCAAUCUCAGUUCGGAUUGUAGGCUGCAACUCGCCUACAUGAAGUCGGAAUCGCUAGUAAUCGCAGGUCAGCAUACUGCGGUGAAUACGUUCCCGGGCCUU